AGAGUUUGAUCCUGGCUCAGGAUGAACGCUAGCUACAGGCUUAACACAUGCAAGUCGAGGGGCAGCAUGGUCUUAGCUUGCUAAGGCCGAUGGCGACCGGCGCACGGGUGAGUAACACGUAUCCAACCUGCCGUCUACUCUUGGACAGCCUUCUGAAAGGAAGAUUAAUACAAGAUGGCAUCAUGAGUCCGCAUGUUCACAUGAUUAAAGGUAUUCCGGUAGACGAUGGGGAUGCGUUCCAUUAGAUAGUAGGCGGGGUAACGGCCACCUAGUCUUCGAUGGAUAGGGGUUCUGGAGAGGAAGGUCCCCCACAUUGGAACUGAGACACGGUCCAAACUCCGUACGGAGGCA
rnacentral:rRNA from 1 species